rnacentral:rRNA from 1 species
GACAGAGGCCCCAAGCGUUAGGCGGAAUCACUGGGCUUAAAGCGUGUGUAGGCGGACGCCUAAGUGUCUUGUGAAAUCCCACGGCUCACCCGUGGAACUGCUGGGCAUACUGGGCGUCUUGGGCCAACUAGGGGCAGCCGGAACAAGCGGUGGAGCGGUGAAAUGCGUAGAUAUCGCUUGGAACGCCGAAGGUGAAAACAGGCUGCUGGGGUUG